GCCAGUGCAGAGGAUGACAGCUCAUUGCUGCUAUCAUUUACCCUUCUGGCUGAAGUGGGAAAUACUUACAGUGAACAUAAGAAUCUACAGAUGUUCAUCGUUGUGAUGACUUAACAUCUGAUGACCUGUGUGCAACCCUUCAACCCUGUAAAAGUGAUCUUCAGAAGAACAAAAGCUAUCCUCCUUUUACUCACCCUGCUGCUGCAAGAGGGAUUUCAGAGGUACUACCACCAUGCAGAUGUUUUGGAGAAGCUGUGUUCUUGCUGAGGACACCCCAUAGCUACAAUUACAGAAACAUAACUUCAGACAGCACUCUAGCAAGAAAUGCG